UAGUCCACGUCGUAAACGAUGGGUACUAGCCGUUGGGAGGGUUUGCCUCUUAGUGGCGCAGCUAACGCGAUAAGUACCCCGCCUGGGGAGUACGGCCGCAAGGCUAAAACUCAAAGGAAUUGACGGGGGCCUGCACAAGCGGUGGAGCAUGUGGUUUAAUUCGAUGCAACGCGAAGAACCUUACCUGCCCUUGACAUCUUCGGAAUCUUUUAGAGAUAAGAGAGUGCCUUCGGGAACCGAAUGACAGGUGCUGCAUGGCUGUCGUCAGCUCGUGUCGUGAGAUGUUGGGUCAAGUCCCGCAACGAGCGCAACCCUUGCCAUUAGUUGCCAGCCUUAAGUUGGGCACUCUAAUGGGACCGCUUGCCGAUAAGGCAGAGGAAGGUGGGGAUGACGUCAAGUCCGCAUGGCCCUUACGACCAGGGGCUACACACGUACUACAAUGGCACGCACAAAGCGAAGCUAGUCGGCGACGACAUGCGAAUCG
rnacentral:rRNA from 1 species